CAGUUGAAAAUCCUUGUGGUCUUUGGAUGCAGUUAAAAUGUCUCAAGUCGAUUACAUUUUUAGAGUCUUAUUGAAAUGCAAUUUUAAUCUAAAGAAAUUUUCAACAACUGAAUUUUCAUCUCUAUUCACAUUAUUAAGUUCAAAUGAGAAGUUUGGGUCCAGCAGUGUGCCCCAUUAUCAUUGUUGCUGCUUAUACAUAUCUAUACUUUCCUAAUUCCAGUCAAUUUUUAUCUAAAGGAGACCAUAAUCUUGCACAUUAAAUGCAUUGAAAACCACAAGAAAAAUCCUAGUCAAUGCCACAAUUCAGUUUUUUUUCCCGUGUCAGGAGCGACUUGAGAAACUGCAAGUCGCUUCUGGUGUGAGAGAAUUGGCUGUCUGCAAGGACGUUGCCCAGAGGACGCCCGGAUGUUUUGAUGUUUUUUUUAUCAUUAUUGUGGGAGGCUUGCCUCAUGGCUCUACUACUGGGAGACGUGGGCGUAAGACUCCUCGAGAGUCAGAUACUCUCGAGGAGCGAGAAAGGAAGCGGCUGCGAGAUAUCUUUGCAGAACCAUCUGACGAGGAUUCUUUUGAGGGGUUUACUGAGAGAAUGGAGGAAGAGAUGGUUAGCUCGGAAGAGGAUGACAUGGAAUGGACUCGUGUGAGGGAGGAUUUGGGUGCCACUGGCAAUGAUAGUAUGGAAGGCGAUUGGGGACCUUCAGGAUUAGACCCGUGGACAAGCUGGAGGGAUGGGACGGGAUCCACAGCUGGGGAUGAUGUGGGGCGUAGUCAAAGGUGUUUCAGUUCUGAUGAGGAAAGUGAUGAGGAAACGCCCGGACUAAGGAGAACAGCUGAUAGUGAUGACGACUUGUAACUGGCAUAAAAUGGGGUUUGGGAGCAAUAGCAAAUUGCGUUGGGCAAGGUAAUCUGGACGAACGCUUGGGAUCUGUGUGGGAAGUUUUCCUGAAGACGGGUGUGAUUCGUUUGCUGACUACCUUUGACCUUCCGUCGUCUUCUUGACGGACGCCAUCUGCUUACUCUGGACUUACGGACUGACUGACUACGGCCUCGGAUUCUCCUACCUGUGUCUAUCGUUGGAACUGGUGAACUACAAACAUCUGUAUCUGCCUUACGACCUUCGGAACGGAUUGGGACUUUGCUGACUGCAUCUGCCCUCGUCUGCUGUGUUUGUAUCUGGAAAUUGCCUGCUGUGUGGAGGAGUAACCUCUAAGUUACUCAAAUAUAGCUCUUGGCAGCAGAGAAGCAUCUGCUGCCAAUUAAUUGCAUUCCUUUGAACUCUUUGUUCACCAGCUUCUGUUUGUUUAUUCCCAGGCUGAAGCAAGCUGUUUUGAUUUAACCCGGAUUAAACUCCGGUUUAUCUUUUGAACGUUUUUCUUGUCUCUUUUUACUUUUAAGGCCAGUGUUUGCCUAGCCCUUGUCUUUUACGGGCAUUUUUGGUUCUGUAACUCCAAUAAACUUUGUUAUAUUUUAUCUUGUGGCGUUCUGUCUUUGACAGUUUACAUAUUCAGACAUGAUGAAUCCAAUGUUUUCUUAUAGCCAAAUCCUACUAAUUGUUUUGGGUGAAAUUAGAUUAAGUACUUUUUGGAUUCUAAAUAAACUUUUAGAAAUUACAAUGGUGCUACAGCACAUAUGGUAGUAUCAAUAUUCAGGAACAAGGAUGAGAGGUCUUCACUUGGGGAGUGGGAUUAUUUAUUGUGUGUAAAUAGUUAACAUGCAUUUUAAAAUUCUUUACAUGAACUCUAUGGGUUUGGAGAAGGUAAUGCUGGCUGGCAGAUAAAUAUUGUUACUUUACAUAAGUUUUGACCUUUUUCUUUGAAGUAAUACCUCUGCAAAAAUCUCCCAAACUAUUACUCCUGUGAGAGAAGCUUCCACUAGUCUCAGUGAAGUGUUCAGAUACAAAAUUAAGACUAUAGUAAUAAGUCACAUUGAACUCAGUGAGACCCCAAAAGAAUGAUACAUAUAAGAUUACACUGAAUGAUUGCAGUUCUAUGACAUAAGGCUUGGAUUAUGUCCUGUUUAACUUAAUAGGACAUAGUCUUGGAAAAAUAUGGCUCUGUGAGGAGGCCAUCACUGAUGAGAAGCACAAACUACAAAUUCACCCACUCACAUGCAUAAAAAGAUAAUGCACACAUUUGUUCAUAUUUUAAGUAAACAUUCAGCGCAUAUAACUUUAAUCUGGGUGUCUAAAGUCCAAAACUUUAGCUACUGCAUACACUUGUUUAUAAGUCUAAACAUUUUAGUCAACCCCCCC